GCCUCGGUGACGCACAACGAAGAGGCCUGAUCUAACCCGCACGGCGUCUGACGUCAUCAAAAAGGGUCGGGCGGCGCGCGCGCGCGCAGAGUGAAAGCAGGAAGCAAUUUGCCUUGGGGGUCCCUGUGUAGAAACCAAGAGACGCCGAAUAUGCAGCGUCUUUUUGUCCUGCUGGUGCUGCUGCACAUGCAGGUUUGCCUGCUGUUGAAGGACUGCGAGUGGAAAGUUGUGCUCAACGAUUUUGAUAAUCUAGGUGGGGACCAAGCUGUGUUUUUUAGGCAGCACCCGGUCACUAGCGUAGCGUCUGUGUUCCAGAAUCUGACGGACUCGGCCAUAGACCUGAAUGAUAAAAAUUCGCACUACCUGGGCUUCCCGUACUACUUGAAAAUCAGUCUAACCUGCAUCACUCAGGAUGCAGGGAAGGUCAUUCGCAAUGCUCACCUGACGGGGCUGAGGCCCAUUGUGACCGUAACGUUUGAAGCGCCUGUCAAUACAGAGCGUCAGAAACCCGAGGAGCUGCAGAUUGAGAUGAAAGGCGCCCCUUACCGGCUCCAGGGGCCUUGUGCCAGCGAAGAGGUUUGCCGGAUGUGCUGGUACACGCCCAUGCCAAUGACGAAGAGGAGUGUGGUGACAGAGGUCGUGGUAAAGAGCAAUGGCCUGGGCCUUGAAGUGGACAACAAGAGAUUUGUUAUGAAUAUUAACGGCUACAUGAAGGAAACUGAGACCGGUUUACAAUCUUCCCUAGGAGAGAAGGUUACAUCACUGGGGGAGAUGAUCUCACUGGACAGCCGGUCCCGUCCCAUUUGGUUCACCGUCAAUCAAGCCCCUGUGCUGAUCCUCGGGGGAUUCCAGGGUUACAAAAUCAUUCUGGUUUCAGACUCGGAGUUUGCGGAUUUCACUGCUGUGGAGGUGGGGAUUGACAGCUGCUGGAUCGGGUCCGUGAACUGCCCCCUGGACUCGUUCUCCUCCUCCAUUUUCGAUGCCAUCGCUACAGAAAGCGUGCUCCUCCUCCGCCAGAACCAGCUGGUCUAUUACUUCACUGGGAACUAUUCGGUCCUUUCUCUUCCUGUGCCGGGAUCCAGCCUGUGGACUCGUGUGCUGAACAACAUCUGCGUGUCCCGGUUAAACCCUGUGCCCUUCCCUCACAACGGCUCCGAGUUCGUGAUUGCUCUUGGAGGGGGCGUGCAAGAAGGAGAAUUCUUCCUUGGCACCAUUCGCGAUGGAGCCGUUCGGUUUCCCGAAUCACACGCCAAGGGGAGGAAGACAGUGUGUGAACAUUUGAAGAUUUCUUGCGCGAUCCUCUGGGCUGUCUAUGUCACGGAAGAGGAGGUGAUUGUGCUGCUGGUGGAAGGGAAGAAAAAGAGCAGCAAGUCUGAUUACUACAUCAUGGCCUACGAUCAAGCUGAUGGAGAUUUCUGGAUGUUGUACUCCAUCCCUCGCUUCAUACCCAAAGACACUGAGAAAGGGUUUGUGAUGUUGCUGGGCCUGGAAGAAUACACGGAUUACCUGCUGAUCCCCAGGGGGCUCUCCUACAACCCAUUCAGCACAAUCUUCUACAUCUGGGGCAAUGUUAUUUUACAAAGCUACGACCUGCUUAAUUACAUUCAGCUCUCUGACUUCCCCCAACGAUCCCCCAUCAGCUACUUCAUUCUGUCGUAUGUAGGGGAAUUCGUGUGUGUGACAGUCUCGGAGGAGAUCUGGUUUUCUGUGGAAGGCAGCUCGGUCGUCGUUCGGCUCUACCCCUCCGAACCCUGGGACACGUACUUCAGUCUCCAGCUAAUGAGAGGGUCGAAGGACUUCAGCUUCAACGAGACCUUUGUGAGCCUCUUCUUUAACAAGGAGGGGCUGCAGCAGCUGGUUUACAUCCCGGAUGGACGCGGGGAGGGACAGCUGAUCAAGAGGAACUUCCCUCUCCAUUAUAUAUUGUCGUACCGGCACCUCAUCAUCCAUCGGUACCAUUGGCUGUAUUUACAAGAUUCUCAGUACAUCAGGUUCUUCCAUCCUUGCUCCUUCUCGGUCAUGCGCUUCAAGGACCUCCCAGCCCCUCAGCGCUUCACCCGGAUGGAGCACUAUUGCACCGAGCCGCCAGAUGUCAUGGACAGAACAGGCUUCCACAACAACGUGUCUCUGGCUGUAUACCAGGGACUGAUCUUCCAGCUGCUCUGGCUGCACGCGGACUAUAGCAGGCCUUAUGCUGACCCGGUCCAUGACCCAACUUGGCGCUGGUGGAAAAACAGAAAGCAAUACGCAGAGUAUUUCUUUUACGUAGCGAGCAAUGGCAACUCCUCCGGAGGCGUCUACGUCAACAUGGAGGGCUACACGAAGACCUAUGACCUGCAGCCCAAUAACCAGCUGCCCAGCAAGAUUUACCUGGACAAGAAUAACGUCUAUUCUUUCUCAGUAUUCCUGAGCAUCAGAUCAAAGGCACAAAACAUGGGGGAAAUGCUGGAAGAGAACUCUCUUGAUUUUGUGUGGCUCACCAUUGUCUUAGCGCAUCCGAAGUUUGUGGUUUCAGACCUCCACCGGCACUAUCUGAGGGGCCGGGGCUCCGUGCUGUAUUCGGUGACCAUCAGUGACACCGGUGAGUACCCGCAACAGGAGCUGAGUGGGAUGAACCUUCUGAAGAGUUCAAUGGCUUUGAAGCUCUGUCAGGUUAUAAAUUCGGCAACAAAUUGUUACCACUACACAGUGUCCGGCCCAAAACUCCAGGGCUAUGCCAUGGUGCCAAUCUUUAUUGGCUGCCCCCCGGGCAAGCGGCUGGCCUUCGACAUCACCAGAACCCUGAAGUACACCACCAAACAGAACAAGCACUACUUCGACUGCAUCCACAAGAACCCAGAGCUGCCGUGUUUCUUCUUUAACGAUGUAUUUUACCCCUUCUUCUUGAUCCAAGACAUGGUGACGGGGGACUCGGGACCUUUCAUGGGCAGCUACACGCUGAGGAUCAUUGGCGGAGGGCCGUACUCGGAGAGCAGGAUCCGCUUCUACAGCCCGAGCGAAAUCCUCAACUAUAACACGGCAAACGGCAGCACACCGCUGAGUCUGAUCUGGAUGAGGGCUAAUCGCACAAAACCUGCCCUUACGGAUCCCGAAGGCUUCAAUGUCUUCUCCGGAACCGACUGUGGGAUCAAGUGGGUCUGUGAGCAGAACUCGCCCUGUUACGAUGUGGUUCCCGUAGACCUGACGGCUCCGGAUUACUUCUUUUUGGUGGAGGUGUCUAACAGGGCCGUGGACAAGAGCACCUACUGCGACUACGACCUGGAGUUUGUGAUCCACAUUCACGGCUUGCGGCUCAGCCCCUCCCGGGCAAUCGCCUUCAUGAAGAUUUCCAUGGCCGUUCUCACCGGCAUUGUCUUCUUGUACGUCCUCCAGCAAGUCCUGGGGCCCGUGAUUGGGGCCGGCUUCACCCGACUCAUCCAAAGGUUUGAGGAGUCCCUAGCUGUUCGCACAGAGUCCACCAUCACCUUCUCCGGCUCUUCCUCCAUCCAGAGCCAGGGGAGCUCCCACCACACGUCCGCCUUGUAGACCUGCAUCAGCGGCAACGGCCACCUGUCCCGACGCAGCACGGAAGAACUGGCCCCCCAGCGUCCCAUCAUCCCCAUCGCGAGUCCCAGCCUGUAUCCAAAUAUUCCUUCCCUCUCCGCGGUCCCCGCAGCCCGAGAGCCCCGUCCUUCCUCCCCUGCUCCCUGCGUCGGGCCGGGACCUUUGUCAGCGACUUGGCUGACGAGUCCAGGCAGGCUAGACCCAAGCCGUGGUGGGCGUGCUAUUGCUCCGAUCUGGCACCGCUCUGCGGCUUGUCCUGGCCAAAGCAGGGGGGAUCAGGGCUUUCCACAGUAGCCCUGGAGCAAACGAGUCAGUCAGAACGAUAAGGACCUGAACCCACGGGGCGUUGCUCUAAACGCCUCAGCCAGGCUCAGCUCAGCGGAGGAUGGCGGCCGGCCUUUCCCAGUCCAGCUGGAACAGGAGCUCCAGUUCGCUGCCCCCGGCCUUAUCCGUGAUGGUACCCAAGCUCCAGGCAUGAUCGGAAGGGCAGCGAGCGGCCGUCCACCGCGCCAGUCUGAGCAGGAUCGGGAGCUCCCGCGCGAUGGGGAAACUGAGGCACAGAAAGCCGCUGCAACCUGCCCAGGGUCAUCCAGCGGGCCAAGCCAGGAAUAGACACCUGCUUUCCUGAAGCCCAGGCGAGCCCGCGACCUGCUCGGCCACCCGCCUGCGCCUCAUCCCCUGCCCUUCGCUGGGGAGGAAACAGCUGGCUGCAUCUCUGCCGCGGUGCUUUCACAGCGAGGAUAAGAGGCAGCUCCCGUUGCAAUGUCCUGCUGAUA